rnacentral:rRNA from 1 species
GACAGGGGAUGCAAGCGUUACUCGGAAUUACUGGGCGUAAAGCGUCUGCAGGCGUCUUUCUAAGUCUGGCGUAAAAGCACGGAGCUCAACUCCGUGUACGUGCUGGAAACUAGCGAGAUUGAGUCAUGGAGAGGUAUCUGGAAUGUCGUGUGUAGGGGUAAAAUCCGUAGAUCCACGAUGGAACGCCAAAAGCGAAGGCAGGAUACUGGCCAUGUACUGACGCUCAGAGACGAAAGCGUGGGGAGCAAAGGGG